GACGAACGCUGGCGGCGUGCUUAACACAUGCAAGUCGAACGGUGAUGCCCUGCUUGCUGGGUGGGAUAGUGGCGAACGGGUGAGAAACACGUGAGAAAUCUGCCCUUGACUCUGUGAUAAGCCUGGAAAACGGGGGCUAAUACAGGAUAUGACCAUCCGGCCCACGUGAUGGUGGUGGAAAGCUUUUGGGGUUUUGGGAGGACCCGCGGCCUAUCCGCUUGUUGGGGGGGUAAUGGCCUACAAAGGCGACGCCGGGUAGCCGGCCGGAGAGGGUGACCGGCCACACGGGGACUGAGACACGGCCCGGACUCCAACGGGAGGCAGAAGUGGGGAAUAUUGCACAUGGGGCGCAAGCCUGAUGCAGCGACGCCGCGGGAGGGAUGACGGCCUUCGGUUUGUAACCCGCUUUCGGAAGGGAAGAAGCGAAAGUGACGGUACCUGCAGAAGAAGCACCGGCUAACUACGUG
rnacentral:rRNA from 1 species